GCAUUGGUGGUAUAGUGGCGAGCAUAGCUGCCUUCCAAGCAGUUGACCCGGGUUGGAUUACCGACCAAUGCA
rnacentral:tRNA from 1 species